AGGCGGAGCGCUCUCCCGUCCGUCGCUCAUGGCCGCCGCAGCGUGCCGCGGCCUCGCCGUGCUGCUGCUGGGCCGCCGCCCGCCGCCCUGGCUGCGCCCGCCGCCCGCCCGCAGCCUGCCCGGCGCCGCGGGCCUGGGCCCGGGGCUGGGGCUGGUCCCGCCGCGGGCUGCGGCCCCGCUCCGCGCCGCGCUCCGCCGGUACAGCCAGGUGACGGACGCGCCGUCGCGGGAAGGUCACCUCCCAGAGCAGGAACACGAGCCGCCCAAGGCAGAAAACGACGUCUUCCUCAUCAGGGCGCAAGGAUUCCCCUUCUCCUGCACAGAGGAAGAUGUGCUUACCUUCUUUGAUAGCUGUAGAAUUCGAAACGGUGAGAACGGCAUACACUUCCUCUUAAACAGGGAUGGGAGGCGGAGGGGAGACGCCUUGAUCGAGCUGGAGUCGAAAGCAGAUGUCCAGAGAGCACUGGAGAAACACCUGCGGUACAUGGGCCCACGCUACGUGAAAGUGUUCGAAGUACACGACAGCGAUGUGGAGAGCUUGCUGCGGAGUCUGCGGGACGAGUCCCAGGCCAUCAAUGACGGAGUGGUAAUGCUCAGGGGCCUGCCGUUCAGCUCCACGGAGGAUGACAUCGCGGAUUUUUUCUCAGGUUUGAAAAUAACGGACAUAGCCUUCGUCUACCGGGGAGAGAGAAGAACAGGGGAAGCGUUCGUGCAGUUCGCGGCUCCGGACAUGGCGGCUAAAGCCCUGUCGCGGCACAGGGAAUACAUGGGCAAUAGAUACAUAGAAGUGUACGUCAGUAGAAAGCAUCAAAUGCAAAGGCACGUGCCUUACCACAGGCAGCUGCUGACCUAUCCCAAAGUGAGGAAAGAACAUGAGUCUGUUUCUGAAGAAAGGCGAUGGAGCGACACGGCAAGUUCUGAUGCUGAAGGAGAAAAUCAAGUGUGCAGAGAACAAACAGAAAGGCCUGGGCACAUUUCAGAAUCCGAGAGCGUCUCGUCACCACUGCACUUUGUCCACAUGAGGGGUUUUCCUGCCCAGACUAGUGCCCAAGACAUAAUCAAUUUUUUUGCUCCCCUGAAGCCCACGAGGAUCAUGGUGGAAUACAACUGCCACGGAGACGCCACGGGAGAGGCGGACGUGCACUUUGAGAGCCGCGAGGACGCGGUGGCUGCCAUGGCUAAGGAGGGGUCACGGCUGCAUUACACAGCCUGCCUCUCUCAAAUUGUUCCCCAGAGUGCAGUGCCAUCGAAUUAUUCCUGAACGGACACCCAAAAGCAAACCAGAACUGCUAGUGACAGGGGCGCGGCCUCAGCUUUGGCCAAAGUGAACACAUUCCGUGGGUACGAGCAUGAAGAUCGAGCGUGAGUGUUGCUGCUCAGUAACAAAGAUACACUGUAUACAUUUUAGGAUUGUGUAAGAGCAUGUAAUAAAUUCUGUUGAUACCCUGUGGAAA